GACGAACGCUGGCGGCGUGCUUAACACAUGCAAGUCGAACGAUGAACCCGGAGCUUGCUCCGGUGGAUUAGUGGCGAACGGGUGAGUAACACGUGAGUAACCUGCCUUUGACUCUGGGAUAACUGCGGGAAACUGGGUCUAAUACCGGAUAGGACCACUGCCUGCAUGGGUGGUGGUGGAAAGCUUUUGCGGUGUGGGAUGGGCCCGCGGCCUAUCAGCUUGUUGGUGGGGUGAUGGCCUACCAAGGCGACGACGGGUAGCCGGCCUGAGAGGGUGACCGGCCACACUGGGACUGAGAUACGGCCCAGACUCCUACGGGAGGCAGCAGUGGGGAAUAUUGCACAAUGGGCGCAAGCCUGAUGCAGCGACGCCGCGUGAGGGAUGACGGCCUUCGGGUUGUAAACCUCUUUUAGUAGGGAAGAAGCGAAAGUGACGGUACCUGCAGAAAAAGCACCGGCUAACUACGUGCCAGCCGCCGCGGUAA
rnacentral:rRNA from 1 species